UUUCCGUAGGUGAACCUGCGGAAGGAUCAUUAUUGAAACUUCAUCCGGGGCGCCGCGGCCCUCAGCACCGGUGGAAACGCCGUGCUGCGGGGGCCGCGCGUGCACUCGUCCAAACCAAACCCCUGUGAACCUUACGGGAUGGCCCGGGUUAGCGCCCGGUGCCGUUCCGCUUUAUACAAACACUUAUCAAAGAAUGAACUGAAGGCGGUCUGACCGCUGGAUAACAAACUGAAACAACUUUCAACAAUGGAUCUCUUGGCUCUC
rnacentral:misc_RNA from 1 species